GACGAACGCUGGCGGCGUGCCUAAUACAUGCAAGUUGAGCGCUGAAGGUUGGUACUUGUACCAACUGGAUGAGCAGCGAACGGGUGAGUAACGCGUGGGGAAUCUGCCUUUGAGCGGGGGACAACAUUUGGAAACGAAAGCUAAUACCGCAUAAAAACUUUAAACACAAGUUUUAAGUUUGAAAGAUGCAAUUGCAUCACUCAAAGAUGAUCCCGCGUUGUAUUAGCUAGUUGGUGAGGUAAAGGCUCACCAAGGCGAUGAUACAUAGCCGACCUGAGAGGGUGAUCGGCCACAUUGGGACUGAGACACGGCCCAAACUCCUACGGGAGGCAGCAGGAGGGAAUCUUCGGCAAUGGACGAAAGUCUGACCGAGCAACGCCGCGGGAGUGAAGAAGGUUUUCGGAUCGUAAAACUCUGUUGGUAGAGAAGAACGUUGGUGAGAGUGGAAAGCUCAUCAAGUGACGGUAACUACCCAGAAAGGGACGGCUAACUACGUG
rnacentral:rRNA from 1 species